GUUAUAGGAUCAAGUGACUAAGUGCACAUGGUGGAUGCCUUGGCGAUUACAGGCGAAGAAGGACGUGGUAGCCUGCGAAAAGCGGCGGGGAGCUGGCAAACGAGCUUUGAUCCGCUGAUGUCCGAAUGGGGAAACCCACUGCGCGAGCAGUAUCCUGCACUGAAUACAUAGGUGCAGAGAAGCGAACCGAGUGAACUGAAACAUCUAAGUAGCUCGAGGAAAAGAAAUCAACCGAGAUUCCGGCAGUAGCGGCGAGCGAGCCCGGAGCAGCCUUGACGAUUUAGCAUUGCAUAUAGCCGAACGCUCUGGAAAGGGCGACCGUAGCGGGUGAUAGUCCCGUAGGCGAAAUGUGCGGUGUGGAACUAGGCGUCAGACAAGUAGGGCGGGACACGUGAAAUCCUGUCUGAAGAUGGGGGGACCAUCCUCCAAGGCUAAAUACUCGUAAUCGACCGAUAGUGAACCAGUACCGUGAGGGAAAGGCGAAAAGAACCCCGGAAGGGGAGUGAAAUAGAUCCUGAAACCGUGUGCAUACAAACAGUAGGAGCCUCUUUAUGGGGUGACUGCGUACCUUUUGUAUAAUGGGUCAGCGACUUACAUUCAGUGGCAAGCUUAACCGAAUAGGGAAGGCGUAGCGAAAGCGAGUCCGAACAGGGCGUUUGAGUCGCUGGGUGUAGACCCGAAACCAGGCGAUCUAUCCAUGGUCAGGUUGAAGGCACGGUAACACGUGCUGGAGGACCGAACCCACUAAUGUUGAAAAAUUAGGGGAUGAACUGUGGAUAGGGGUGAAAGGCUAAACAAGCCUGGAAAUAGCUGGUUCUCUCCGAAAACUAUUUAGGUAGUGCCUCGCGUAUUGCUGCUGGGGGUAGAGCACUGUUAUGGCUAGGGGGUCAUGGCGAUUUACCAAACCAUGGCAAACUCCGAAUACCAGCAAGUAUGAGCGCGGGAGACAGAGCACCGGGUGCUAACGUCCGGACUCAAGAGGGAAACAACCCAGACCGCCAGCUAAGGUCCCCAAAAUUGGCUAAGUGGGAAACGAAGUGGGAAGGCGAAGACAGUCAGGAGGUUGGCUUAGAAGCAGCCAUCCUUUAAAGAAAGCGUAAUAGCUCACUGAUCGAGUCGUCCUGCGCGGAAGAUGUAACGGGGCUAAGCCAGUUACCGAAGCUGCGGGUGUGUAUCGUAAGAUAUACGCGGUAGGAGAGCGUUCUGUAAGCCUGUGAAGGUGGCUUGUAAAGGCUGCUGGAGGUAUCAGAAGUGCGAAUGCUGACAUGAGUAGCGAUAAAGGGGGUGAAAAGCCCCCUCGCCGUAAGUCCAAGGUUUCCUGCGCAACGUUCAUCGGCGCAGGGUGAGUCGGCCCCUAAGGCGAGGCAGAGAUGCGUAGCUGAUGGGAAGCUGGUUAAUAUUCCAGCACCGUCGUACAGUGCGAUGGGGGGACGGAUUGCGAAAGGUCAUCGGGGUGUUGGAAGUCCCCGUUGCUGCACUAUAGAAGGCGCUUUAGGCAAAUCCGGGCGCGAAAUUCAAGGGUGUGGCUGGAUAAGACUACGGUCUUAAACUGAUUGGAAGUGGUCCCAAGAAAAGCCUCUAAGCUCUAGCUGUACGAGACCGUACCGCAAACCGACACAGGUGGACGGGAUGAAUAUUCCAAGGCGCUUGAGAGAACUCAGGAGAAGGAACUCGGCAAAUUGAUACCGUAACUUCGGGAGAAGGUAUACCCUGGUAGUGUGAAGCGCCUGCGCGCUGAGCAUGACGGGGUCGCAGAGAAUCGGUGGCUGCGACUGUUUAUUAAAAACACAGCACUCUGCUAACACGAAAGUGGACGUAUAGGGUGUGACGCCUGCCCGGUGCCGGAAGGUUAAGUGAUGGGGUGCAAGCUCUUGAUCGAAGCCCCGGUAAACGGCGGCCGUAACUAUAACGGUCCUAAGGUAGCGAAAUUCCUUGUCGGGUAAGUUCCGACCUGCACGAAUGGCGUAACGAUGGCCACACUGUCUCCUCCUGAGACUCAGCGAAGUUGAAGUGUUUGUGAUGAUGCAAUCUACCCGCGGCUAGACGGAAAGACCCCAUGAACCUUUACUGUAGCUUUGCAUUGAACUGUGAACCGGCUUGUGUAGGAUAGGUGGGAGGCGCAGAAGAGUGGUCGCUAGACUGCUUGGAGCCGACCUUGAAAUACCACCCUGGUCUGUUUGCGGUUCUAACCUUGGCCCGUUAUCCGGGUUGGGGACAGUGCAUGGUGGGCAGUUUGACUGGGGCGGUCUCCUCCCAAAGCGUAACGGAGGAGUUCGAAGGUACGCUAGGCACGGUCGGAAAUCGUGCUGAUAGUGCAAUGGCAUAAGCGUGCUUGACUGUGAGACUGACACGUCGAACAGGUGCGAAAGCAGGACAUAGUGAUCCGGUGGUUCUGAAUGGAAGGGCCAUCGCUCAACGGAUAAAAGGUACUCUGGGGAUAACAGGCUGAUACCGCCCAAGAGUUCAUAUCGACGGCGGUGUUUGGCACCUCGAUGUCGGCUCAUCUCAUCCUGGGGCUGUAGCCGGUCCCAAGGGUAUGGCUGUUCGCCAUUUAAAGAGGUACGUGAGCUGGGUUUAAAACGUCGUGAGACAGUUUGGUCCCUAUCUGCCGUGGGCGUUGGAUACUUGACGGAGCCUGCUCCUAGUACGAGAGGACCGGAGUGGACGUACCGCUGGUGUAUCGGUUGUCAUGCCAAUGGCAUUGCCGAGUAGCUAAGUACGGAAGAGAUAACCGCUGAAGGCAUCUAAGCGGGAAACUCGUCUGAAGAUAAGGUAUCCCGGGGGCUUGACCCCCCUGAAGGGUCGUUCGAGACCAGGACGUUGAUAGGCUGGGUGUGUAAGCGCAGUAAUGUGUUUAGCUAACCAGUACUAAUUGCCCGUGCGGCUUGAUCCUAUAACCAUGCAGGUUAUG
rnacentral:rRNA from 1 species